rnacentral:rRNA from 1 species
CCUACGGGGAGCAGCAGUGGGGAAUAUUGCGCAAUGGGCGAAAGCCUGAUGCAGCAACGCCGCGUGAAGGAAGAAGGGUUUCGGCUCGUAAACUUCUAUUAACAGGGACGAAAGAAAUGACGGUACCUGCAUAAGAAGCCCCGGCUAACUACGUGCCAGCAGCCGCGGUAAUACGUAGGGGGCAAGCGUUAUCCGGAAUUACUGGGUGUAAAGGGUGAGUAGGCGGCAUGGUAAGCCAGAUGUGAAAGCCUUGGGAUUAAACCGAGGAUUGCAUUUGGAACUAUCAAGCUUGAGUACAGGAGAGGGAAGCGGAAUUCCUAGUGUAGGGGUGAAAUGCGUUGAUAUUAGGCAGAACACC